rnacentral:misc_RNA from 1 species
GAAAUGCGAUAAUUAAUGUGAAUUGCAGAAUUCAGUGAAUCAACGAGUCUUUGAACGCACAUUGCGCCCCCUGGUAUUCCGGGGGGCAUGCCUGUCCGAGCGUCAUUGCUGCCCUCAAGCACGGCUUGUGUGUUGGGCUUCCGUCCCUGGCAACGGGGACGGGCCCAAAAGGCAGUGGCGGCACCAUGUCUGGUCCUCGAGCGUAUGGGGCUUUGUCACCCGCUCCCGUAGGUCCAGCUGGCAGCUAGCCUCGCAACCAAUCUUUUUAACCAGGUUGACCUCGGAUCAGGUAGGGAUACCCGCUGAACUUAAGC